rnacentral:rRNA from 1 species
AUUGAACGCUGGCGGCAUGCUUUACACAUGCAAGUCGAACGGCAGCGCGGGCUUCGGCCUGGCGGCGAGUGGCGAACGGGUGAGUAAUACAUCGGAACGUGCCCAGUAGUGGGGGAUAGCUCGGUGAAAGCCGGAUUAAUACCGCAUACGACCUGAGGGUGAAAGCGGGGGAUCUUCGGACCUCGCGCUAUUGGAGCGGCCGAUGGCAGAUUAGCUAGUUGGUGGGGUAAAGGCCUACCAAGGCGACGAUCUGUAGCUGGUCUGAGAGGACGACCAGCCACACUGGGACUGAGACACGGCCCAGACUCCUACGGGAGGCAGCAGUGGGGAAUUUUGGACAAUGGGCGAAAGCCUGAUCCAGCAAUGCCGCGUGUGUGAUGAAGGCCUUUGGGUUGUAAAGCACUUUUGGCGGGAACGAAAAGGACUGUGCCAAUACCACGGUUCGAUGACGGUACCCGCAGAAUAAGCACCGGCUAACUACGUG